UUAAACAAAUUUCUAAGUGCAUAAAGUAACAUUUUUAUUUAACAGAGGUAGUGAAUGAUUUCUGUACAAGCCCAAUUUUGGGCUCAAAACCCCCAAACCCAAACUAAACAAAUAACCUACCCAUAAACCCAACAGGCCCAAAACCCACUAAAGACCCAAACAAAUUAAAACCUAGCCCAACCCAAAACAAUUAACAGCCCAAAUGCAAGAAGGAAAAGAAAACCCUAAAAUUUUCACCCUAGGCCGCCGCCCUUAGGGCCACUUGCCUGGCCACCGCAUCUGCUCCCAUCGACAGGUCAAAUCAACCGCCCAAGCUGCACCUGCAAUGCAUUAAACAGAAAUGACAGAAGCAAGAAAAGAGAAUGUUGAAUCCGGCUAUAUAUAGCCAAACAGAAUGCAAACGGGGGGGUUCCUUUUUUAGUUCUAGAUUUUCUUCCCUUUUUUAAAAAUAGAAGAGGCAAAUAACAUCACAAGGCUUGGAUAUACUUCAAAUCGCAAGGAAUACAGAAAGACCGAAACCAAGGUCUAUUUAUUUCUUUUUUUUCUCUCUUUUUUCCGAAUUUACUUGCAUAUAUUAUUCUUACUCUAGUAAAAUAAUACAUAUAUACUCAUUAAAAAAUAUAAUAAAAAAUAUAAAAAAGGGAAAAAAUUACUUGAAGCACAGUGGUCGGCACGGCGGAUGACACGACGGCCACCGGCCCGCUCCUCGCCGGAUUCUGGUACCUGCAGAGAGAGAAGAGAGGAUUAGAAGUUUUUUUUUAGAAGAGGAGAAAGGAAAUGAAAUAAAAAAA
rnacentral:lncRNA from 1 species